UACGAAGGGGGCUAGCGUUGCUCGGAAUUACUGGGCGUAAAGGGAGCGUAGGCGGAUCGUUAAGUUGGGGGUGAAAGCCCGGGGCUCAACCUCGGAACUGCCUUCAAUACUGGCGAUCUUGAGUAUGGGAGAGGUGAGUGGAACUCCGAGUGUAGAGGUGAAAUUCGUAGAUAUUCGGGAGAACACCAGUGGCGAAGGCGACUCACUGGCCCAUUACUGACGCUGAGGCUCGAAAGCGUGGGGAG
rnacentral:rRNA from 1 species